UUUUCCUUUAAAGGUCAGGGCAGAACUGGGAAGCAGCCUUUUCUGCUUUAGACCAAAAGGAGGUCACGCAGGGUCAAGCUCUCUCUCCAUCCCCUCUGUCUCUCUCCCCACUGUGCCCUUCCUAUGCCACAUGGUUGACAGCGAUGACUGCAACGGAGUUGUUUUCUUUCUCAGUGGGGGCACAGAAAGGCAGACUUCCUCUCUUCUACUCAGAACUGACCUGGCUGCCUCCGAGGAGAAUCUCUGCCCUUCCUGAGAGUGCUGUCGCAUUGCCAGAUGGCUGGUUACUUUCGUCUGCCUCCCCAACCUGCUGUGGAUCACAGGAAGUCAGUCUGCAACCUGGCAUCACGCCUGUCACAGGGAGGCAAAGUUGAAGAUUGCCCAAAUCCAUGUAAGCACCACUAGCGAACAGACCAUGACGUUGCUUGGCCCACAAGUCAUCAAAAAGAGACUAUUGUCUGCAUCCUUUUCGCUGCUCUCUGGUGCCCUCUGCACUUGCACAGACAUGGAGCUGAUGGUGUGUCUCAGUAGUACAACAUUUACCUAGCAUGUGCGAGGUGCCGGCUUCAUCAUGGGAAAGGAGAUGGAGAGACCCUAGAGCCAGAGGACCUAGAUGUCCCCCAGGAGAGUCUUUAUCUGUGACACCGCAUCAACAUGUAUGUGAUUUCGCUUUCUAGAACCACACAGAGGCGCUCUUCACUCACUCAAGAGUUUUUCAUUUCAAAAUUUCUCAUUAACUGGUGAUUUGUCGAAAGGCAAGGGACAUCCUAGGCUAGAGGAGUUCACCAUGUUUUCUUACCCAGCAGCUCAAUCAUUUAUAGUUGCAUAAACAUGACAUACUAGUUCUCAGUAGCCAGAGAGAGAACUAUCCCCUUGGUAAUGUUAACACCAGAUUCAGAAAACGGCAGAGCUGACUUUACUCCUGGAAAAAUGUGAACGUGCGUGAGGAAAGACCUGGGAGUGAAAGUACCAAACUCAUGAAGCUUCUGAAAAGAUCUCCACCAUUCCCCACCAUCUCAGGAAUGUCAGUCAGCUGACUUGGCUCUCCAAGAUGUCAACCAGCCAACUCUGCUUCCCAAGAUAGACUGCCCUAUUUUCCACAUCAAAGGAAGCAAAGAGACACAAGCCAGGAACAGAACUGCAGGGUGACAGGUGGAUCCAACACACGGUAUUUACUGAGAUCCUAUUAUACAACAAUGGCUGGAAUUGAUUCCAUUCAGAUGCACUCAGAAGUGUCUACCUGUAGGACUUCAUAUAAGUGAGGGUGGGUACAGGAUAGAACGAGGCCUGUCAUUGGAUGAGAAGGAAGGAUGGGCGGGAGAAAAGUCCAAGGGAAGAGGAGGAGAUGUGAGACUGGAGGAUACUGGCAGAGUAGCCUCGGAGAGAACAUAGAGGCUGGCGUUGAUUUCACCCUGUGUAUUUACAGGUUUUUAUGAAUGUUCCUAAGGGAUGGAUGUGUACAGGGCUUUGUAUGUUUAGGUGGACGAGUAUAUCUUAUCCAUUGGAUCAGAGGUUAUUGUGUUGUGUGUUCUUUCUUGUGGAGAAUUGAGGGUGGGAGAGUGUGUGGCAGCAGAGACACUGGGCCACACGGAAUUGGGGUGUGUGUUUCUGCCAAGAUAUCUAGCAGAUAUCUUGGGGCACUGUGGUGCCAGAUCUAGAGGGGGUAAAAGACAGCUUUUUUAUAAUUUUACAGUAACGUCUACCCAUGAGAUGUUCACAGCAGUUCAAUUCCAUCACACCCCUUCCAGUGAGUCAUGGUGUGCUUCAUGUAAAAUGAACAGUCUUUGUGACUGGAGAGAUGGCCCAGUGGUUAAGAGUGCUUGCUAGUCUUAGCAAAAACAAAACAACCCCUCCCCCCCCAAAAGGAGUCUGGUUCCUAGCACCUAGUUUGGGUGGCUCGCAACUGCCUGUAACUCUGCAAAUAUUAACUGAUAAAGUCCUCAGAGUAACACCCAGAGAUGUGCAUAUCCUGUUGUUUCUGUCAUCUGAAAACAGAAGAAACUCUCACAUUGAAACAUAACACCUUCCAUAUAGCUAAGCUAGGAGUCUGACAGAAUCAAGGGACGCCGUUUCUGACCCUUCAUUCUUUCUUGACUGUAAGUGCAGAGCAAAUAUAACCACACGUUUAUUAUCAGCCACAUCUACUUAUUCCACAAUAUCCGACCUGGCUGUUUCCUUUUUUUUUUUUCUCAGAGCUGGGGACCGAACCCAGGGCCUUGCGCUCGCUAGGCAAGCGCUCUACCACUGAGCUAAAUCCCCAACCCUUCUUUCCUUUUUUUUUUUUUUUUUUUUUUUGGCUGUCAGUUUUAAGUGCAGCUUUUGAGGGGCUCACAUUUGCAUCUGAGUCAAAUGCUACCCCUAGAUUAGUGUUUGAUUCCUUACUCAGCAUAGUGACUUUUGGGGCAGGCUAUGAUGUGGGAGCUAAGUGCACACUUCUCCACCUCAGCACUGCUGGUGUCUAAAUAACUUUUGGGAAGACUGUCCUGAGUGUUCUAGAAGGUUGUUUUGGUUUGUUUUUUAAGUCACCUUUGGCCUCCAGUCAGUAGGUGGCAGCACAGAUCCAUACUUGGGACACAAAACUGUCUUCAGCCCCUUCUCAGGUAGAAUUACCAUUAGGACAGAACCUGGGUUAGAGGUCUAUGGGUACGAGUAAGUUUCAUUGGCUGGUGACUUGAUGGAGGGAGGGUUUCUUACACAUCGUGUCUAUGGUUCUAACUUUGCAAAGAGUAGGUACAGAAAGGCUUAUAUAAUCAACACCAGUGUGUCUUGGUAUAGAUUUCACCAGUGAAGAAGGGGCAGAGGGGAAUCGUGAAUCAUGCAGGCAGAUGGGGGGGAAUAAAUAGAAGGCAUUGCUAACACUUCCCUGCUGGACUUAUGCAAUAUGUGAGUUCAUGAAUUUUUCAUUAAUAUUGGAGUUCCAAAAAAAAGGGUUUCAUGGAAUUUUGACUUCUAAGCAGGCCACCAUGACAGAAGAAGACAACUGUUAAAGGUCAACAUUCUUGUCAGCAGGGCAAGUCCAUGACUCCUGCUUCCUUAAUUCUGUGUCCCCUCAAGGAACUCCAGAUGCAUCAGAGGCACGCAUUCGUAAGACAAGGAGGGAACAGACACGGAGAUGAACGUACGGACACACAGACGAGUGUAUGCUGGUAAACUGCUGAUGCCUUUCCUCUUGGGGUUGCGGUGUAGUCUAGAACUCUCAGGCUACUCUCUUGAUUUUAGGCUUCUUUUUUUCAUACAUAGCCUAAGGUGAGGGAAGAGAGUAAAAUAUAUUUAGAGAUGAUAUAUAUUAUUGUGGACUUCCGGAAUGGGAAGCUAUUGCCAUGUUAGCAAUUAAGAACCCAGCUUCUGGAGGAAGAAAAAAAGUCACCUGUCCCAAACACAUGCCAUUAUCUGUCAUGUUAUUUAUAGAUCAGGUCUUCUCUGACAUCCAUUUGUUUGAUUUUGAUAUCUUCUUAUGUGCUUGAAAUAGUUUUAAUUUAGAAACAUUAAAUAUGCUUACAUUUAUUGUC